rnacentral:lncRNA from 1 species
GUGAAUCUGCCAAUUAAGCUGCUCUGAGUCAUGUGAUCGCUGUGUCAUCCCAUGAUGUGGAUGGGUGGGAUUUGCACGUCUUGUCGUUAACGGCUUAAUUGUUAUCCAUUGGGAGUGGCUGGAGGAACUUAAUCAUUAUGUUUGUGCUGCUGUGACCAUGGCUGGAAAAUAUAAAUAAUGGCAAGUAGCAAGGGAGGCAGCAUAAUCAUUAAGAUUCAAUAGACCUAAAGUAAGGAAAAUUUGAAAGAAAAAAAAUAAUCACUGUGCUGCUUUAUGUAUUGUUUUAGUUUGUUUUCAGGGUUAAUUACUAAAGUUAGAAUUUUCAGGAAUUCAAAGAGUGCAUCAUUUACCUGGGGAAGAAAUGACAGGCAGGCUCCCAUUUUUGUGGAUGCUACUUCGACACAUACCACCUACCUAAGGAUUGUUGCAGACCACAUACACACCUUCAUGGCAAUGGAUGAAGCAAGGGCCUCUUUCAGCAGGACCAUGCACCCUGUCACACUGCAAAAAUUGUUCAGGAAUAGUUUGAGGAACAUGACAAAGAGUUCAGGGUGUUGCCAUGGCCUCCAAAUGUGCCAUAUCACAAUCCUAUUGAGUAUGUGUGGGAUGUGCUGAUCGUGUUUUGGUGCCAGAUACCACAGGACACAUCCAGAGGUCUUGUGGAGUCCAUGCAUCGAUGGAUCAGAGCUAUUUUGGCAGCAUGACGGGGACCACCAUUAUAUAAGCCAGGACGUUUCAAUGUUGUGGCAGAUUAGUGUAUAAAUAAUAGAAAUGUUGAUAUUCCUGUAGUUAUGUGAUAUAUAAUGAAUUUAAUGCAUUUGGGGAGAAUUUAUGUUAAAGUGAACAUUAAAUGGUAGAGACUUGGGAACAAUUAUAGAUCACAAACUAGGCAACAGUAUGCAAUGUUGGUUGGCUUUUGCAAAAGCAAGUCAAAGCAAGUUCUGAUUCACAUGACUUAAAUAUAAUUUUGCACUGAAUAGGGGGUGCAAUUUUGGCACCAAUUUUAAAGAAGGAUAUUGCAGAACUAGAAAAAGUGAGCUACAAAACUAGUAAGGGAGAUGGAAAACAUUUGUUACAUGGAAAGGCUAGAAAAAAAUAGAUUUGUUUCAUAUAUAUAUAUAUAUAUACAAAAAAGCAUCUUAGAGGGUAUAUGGUAGUACUAUACAAAUCUAUACAUGUUCAGUAUAAACCGCGAUGUACUAAGCUGUUCAUUAGCAGGUAUAAACAACAUACAAGAGGCCACCCAUUGAGAUUGGAAGAAAGGCGGUUUCGCUUACAGCAGAGGAAAAAGUUAAUACAUGUAAGAACAAUACAGAUGUGGCAUUCUCUGGUUAAAGAGGUAGUGUUAUCAGAUUCUAUAGGUAAUUUUUUAAAAAGACGCUGAUGCCUUUUUUGCAUAAACAAAAUAUUCAAGGAUAUAAUUGAUAUGUAUGUAAACAGGUUUGUAGUGGAGGACUUUCUUCCUUGAAUUGUUAUUGUACUGGAACAAGGUGCUGAAACGUGAAUAUGUCUCUCCGCACCUAGUAACUGUACGACACAGUGCUGAGAGUACAACAAACUUUUAUUCAGGGACAAGUUCUUUUAUAGCCAGACCCCCAGCAUGGGGUCUCCAUACAGUGACAUACAAUCCCUGCCCAGGCGUCUGUGUCUUGGAGAUAAUUGAGUCAAAGACCAGUAAAUUGAUUAUCUCCCAGAUACAGAGGACCAAAUAUAAAAACACGAAAGUACCCAAAAGCACAGUAAAAUUAUACAGGAACCCCACAUGUCUUAUAUCACCAAAUAGCCUUGACCAGAGCGCCCAAGUUGUCCAAAUAGGGCUCAGAUACAUGCAGUGUAGGGGAAUCUGCAUCGGGGCAAAGUUCUGACUGGGCGCACACGUGGGUAAUGCCCAAAAUAGUUCCAGGAGAGAUGGGUUUCGGCCGGUCAGCUUUCAGGAGUUCCUGUGGGUGAAGAAAUGGGUGCUUUCACUGGCUCUUAGGGAGUGAUGGUUCCCCCAGUCCAUAAUAACUUCCCUGCUAUUAGCGCUCUCCUAGCAUGUCUACAGGUGAUACUCGAAAAAUUACAAUAUCGUGCA